rfam:Chaetura pelagica isolate M959 contig47489, whole genome shotgun sequence.
UAGCACAGUUGGUAGAGCAUGGGACUCUUAAUCCCAGGGUUUGUGGGUUUGAGCCCCAU